AGAGUUUGAUCCUGGCUCAGAUUGAACGCUGGCGGCAUGCUUUACACAUGCAAGUCGAACGGCAGCACGGGGGCAACCCUGGUGGCGAGUGGCGAACGGGUGAGUAAUAUAUCGGAACAUGUCCGGAAGUGGGGGAUAGCUCGGCGAAAGCCGGAUUAAUACCGCAUAUGCCCUGAGGGGGAAAGGAGGGGAUUCGCAAGGACCUUUCGCUUUCGGAGUGGCCGAUAUCGGAUUAGCUAGUUGGUGAGGUAAAGGCUCACCAAGGCGACSAUCCGUAGCUGGUCUGAGAGGACGACCGGCCACACUGGAACUGAGACACGGUCCAGACUCCUACGGGAGGCAGCAGUGGGGAAUUUUGGACAAUGGGGGAAACCCUGAUCCAGCCAUGCCGCGUGAGUGAAGAAGGCCUUCGGGUUGUAAAGCUCUUUCAGACGGAAAGAAACGGUUACAGAUAAUACCUGUGACUAAUGACGGUACCGUCAGAAGAAGCACCGGCUAACUACGUGCCAGCAGCCGCGGUAAUAC
rnacentral:rRNA from 1 species